UGCAAUCAUCGAUUCUUCAUGCAUUUGGCUGUACAGAUUCUUGCAUCAGCUGUUGACCAGAAAUAUAAUGGGCUAUCGUCAGGAAAUGGCCCAUCAUCCAUAAAUAUGUCUCACACAUAUAAAAUCUGGAUCGAAUAGGCCCCAUUCGCCAUAGUCAUUGAACCGCUAAAUAAAUUUCGAAGGUACUUUCCUCGUGGACAUGUGGUCGUCUAUUAUUGGAUUC
rnacentral:lncRNA from 1 species